AGCGAACGCUGGCGGCAUGCUUAACACAUGCAAGUCGCACGGUUCGGGGGCAACCUCGGGCAGUGGCGGACGGGUGAGUAACGCGUAGGAAUUUAUCCUUGGAUGGGGGACAACCGUGGGAAACUACGGCUAAUACCGCAUGAUGCCUGAGGGCCAAAGCUCGCGAGAGCGUCUGAGGAGGAGCCUGCGUCUGAUUAGGUAGUUGGUGGGGUAAAGGCCUACCAAGCCUGCGAUCAGUAGCUGGUCUGAGAGGAUGAUCAGCCACAUUGGGACUGAG
rnacentral:rRNA from 1 species